rnacentral:rRNA from 1 species
GAUGAACGCUAGCGGCAGGCUUAACACAUGCAAGUCGAGGGGCAGCAUAAUGAAACAGCAAUGUGGAUUUGAUGGCGACCGGCGCACGGGUGCGUAACGCGUAUGCAACCUACCCAUAACAGGGGGAUAACACUGAGAAAUUGGUACUAAUACCCCAUAAUAGUUUAGAAGGCAUCUUCUAGAUUUGAAAGUUCAGGCGGUUAUGGAUGGGCAUGCGUUGUAUUAGCUAGAUGGUGAGGUAACGGCUCACCAUGGCUACGAUACAUAGGGGGACUGAGAGGUUAACCCCCCACACUGGUACUGAGACACGGACCAG